rnacentral:rRNA from 1 species
GACAGAGGGUGCAAACGUUGCUCGGAAUUACUGGGCGUAAAGCGCGUGUAGGCGGUCACGCAAGUCAGGUGUGAAAGCCCAGGGCUCAACCCUGGAAGUGCACAUGAUACUACGUGGCUGGAGUACUGAAGAGGAGAGCGGAAUUCCCGGUGUAGAGGUGAAAUUCGUAGAUAUCGGGAGGAACACCAGUGGCGAAGGCGGCUCUCUGGGCAGAUACUGACGCUGAGACGCGAAAGCGUGGGGAGCGAACAGG